GCCACAACGACUUGUCUCACGCUAUCCCUAGGCGUGAGCAUAUCAUCUGGUACCAAAGCCUUCGUUUCCUCGGUAGGAUUGUUCUUGAUUUUGGUAGGAUAGAGUUUAAAUACCUACUGUCCACUGAGAGCCAAAAAGAAAACCUACAGCCCAAAUUCAUAUGGGCUACUGAUUUUGUAGUUUGCUUUAUCGAGUUUUAAUCCUUUAAUAUUUGUCUAGUUGCUGAAUUUUUCUUUUCCACAUUGUUCUAGUUAUUAUCUUUGUUCUAAUCAUCAAAUUGCUUGCUGCAUGUACCCAUCCAUCCCACCCUUGAUCUGAUCAUCAUUGCUUGCUGCGUAUAUAUAAACAAAAAAAAAAUACCCACCCAUCCCACCCUUGUUUUCUAACCGCCACAUAUUCCCCACCGCAGUUUCUUGUUUUUGUGCUGCACCAUCCAUCUUAGUGAUCCCCUUUAGUUGAAAGUUGUGCUGCGUUUGACACAGAGGUUAAAAGAAAAGAUGUCUAUGGGUCAAAAGAAGGACUGAAAACGAGUUUUUGUUCCAAAAAAAAAGAGAAAAAAAAAGAAAAGCAAGAAAGAAAAAAAAAGAAAAACAAAAAGAGAACUGUGUGCAGCACACCAAAAAGGGGUUUGGGCAGCAACAAGUUUUCGGUUGGUGCAAAUUGGUGAUCAUCUAUCCACUUACUACAUCUCAUUCCUUUCUUUGUGCAUCCUUUCCUUUAUAUUCAGCAACUUAGACUUCUGUUCUUGGAUUAUUAUUUGGUUUUGCAUCACUACAUUUCAGUGCAUUCCACUAACAUAUUACCCCACCAAGCUCCACUUAAAGCACCGUGAGUUGUUGCACCGUCGUCGCUGUUACAAUCACUCUUCCCUAC
rnacentral:lncRNA from 1 species